AACGAACGCUGGCGGCACGCCUAACACAUGCAAGUCGAACGGCAGCAGGUCCUUCGGGAUGCUGGCGAGUGGCAAACGGGUGAGUAACACGUGGAAACCUAUCUUGGGGCGGGGGACAACGACUGGAAACGGUUGCUAAUACCGCAUACGCCUUAUGAGGGAAAGAUUUAUCACCCUAGGAGGGUUCCGCGUCGGAUUAGCUUGUUGGUGGGGUAACGGCCUACCAAGGCGACGAUCCGUAGCUGGUCUUAGAGGAUGAUCAGCCACACUGGGACUGAGACACGGCCCAGACUCCUACGGGAGGCAGCAGUGGGGAAUAUUGCGCAAUGGGGGAAACCCUGACGCAGCGAUGUCGCGUGAGUGAAUAAGGCCUUAGGGUUGUAAAGCUCUUUCAGUAGGGAAGAUGAUGACGGUACCUACAGAAGAAGCCCCGGCUAACUCCGUGCCAGCAGCCGCGGUAAUACGGAGGGGGCGAGCGUUGUUCGGAAUUAUUGGGCGUAAAGGGCGCGUAGGCGGUUUAUCAAGUCAGAAGUGAAAGCCUCAGGCUCAACCUGGGAAUUGCUUUUGAAACUAGUAGACUAGAGUCCGGCAGAGGGUGGUGGAAUUCCCCGUGUAGAGGUGAAAUUCGUAGAUAUGGGGAGGAAGACCGGAGGCGAAGGCGGCCACCUGGACCGGUACUGACGCUGAGGCGCGAAAGCGUGGGGAGCAAACAGGAUUAGAUACCCUGGUAGUCCACGCUGUAAACGAUGAGUGCUAGUUGUCGCGGGUAUCGACCCCUGCGGCAACGAAGUUAACGCGUUAAGCACUCCGCCUGGGGAGUACGGCCGCAAGGCUAAAACUCAAAGGAAUUGACGG
rnacentral:rRNA from 1 species